AAGCAAGGCUCUCUAAAUCACCAUGAUCAAAGCUCACCUGAACUCAGAGAGCCUGAGGCAGAAAGCCUUUACCUGGACCUUUGUGCAUAUGGCUUCCAGGGAUUUUUGAAAGGGCCACAGAGGAACUGCUGCAGCCUGCCACACACAUUUUCAGAGUCUUCCUCAUUCGGAAUCUUUUCUGCACUCCCGAGAUUGUGCUGCAAAUCCCUGAACCAUAACAAAAUAUUAUGGACAGAGUAACUUAUGCCCAACAAAUUUAUUUCCUACAAGUUUGGAAAAGAGGAAGACUAUGGUGAGAUUACUGACAAAUUUGAUGUCUGAGAUCAACGGAAUCCAUGUAAGCUGUUACACUAAAUGGGAGAGUCUCAGACUUUCUGAUCGGAAGAAGAACCUAUUUGGAGUCUCAGACCCUUUCAGUCAAAAGAAUCACUCAACCUUGAUCCUCAUUUUUCUCAUUAUAAAUAAAAGACACUUGGUAUCAACUUCA
rnacentral:lncRNA from 1 species